rnacentral:misc_RNA from 3 species
CAACCCUCAGGACCCCUCUUCACGGAGGGUGGACUGGUGUUGGGGAUCAGCGUAACCGCGGGGUUCUGCCCCGCCUGCUGGCCCUGAAAUACAGUGGCGGUCUAGCUAUGGACUCCCAUGCGUAGUAACUCACCUCGCACGUGGAAACCUGGCCUGGCCACGCCGUAAAACCCCCUACUUUUUUAU